UGAGGAAUAUUGGUCAAUGGACGAGAGUCUGAACCAGCCAAGUAGCGUGAAGGAUGAAGGUCCUACGGAUUGUAAACUUCUUUUAUAAGGGAAUAAACCCUCCCACGUGUGGGAGCUUGUAUGUACCUUAUGAAUAAGCAUCGGCUAACUCCGUGCCAGCAGCCGCGGUAAUACGGAGGAUGCGAGCGUUAUCCGGAUUUAUUGGGUUUAAAGGGAGCGCAGACGGGUCGUUAAGUCAGCUGUGAAAGUUUGGGGCUCAACCUUAAAAUUGCAGUUGAUACUGGCGUCCUUGAGUGCGGUUGAGGUGUGCGGAAUUCGUGGUGUAGCGGUGAAAUGCUUAGAUAUCACGAAGAACUCCGAUUGCGAAGGCAGCACACUAAGCCGUAACUGACGUUCAUGCUCGAAAGUGUGGGUAUCAAACAGG
rnacentral:rRNA from 1 species